UACGGAGGGGGCUAGCGUUGUUCGGAAUUACUGGGCGUAAAGCGCGCGUAGGCGGCUUUGUGAGUUAUAGGUGAAAGCCCGGAGCUCAACUCCGGAACUGCCUUUAAGACUGCAUCGCUAGAACGUCGGAGAGGUAAGUGGAAUUCCGAGUGUAGAGGUGAAAUUCGUAGAUAUUCGGAAGAACACCAGUGGCGAAGGCGACUUACUGGGCGACUGUUGACGCUGAGGUGCGAAAGCGUGGGGAGCAAACAGG
rnacentral:rRNA from 1 species